AGCGUGUUAGUCUAACUGGUAAAGAUCUGUGCUUCGGACACAUCAAUUGUAAGUUCAAAUCUUAUACGCGUUU
rnacentral:tRNA from 1 species